rnacentral:lncRNA from 1 species
UCUCAUAUGAAGCAGUGGUGGAUGAGCUACUUUUAUUACAAGACAAAUUAAACCACGGUAUCCUGUCACCCCCCUGUAACUAGGCCUUCACCCUACCUGAACGAGGCAACUGCUGAGGAGAUAACUGGCGUUUUCUUUACGUGACACCCAGUGACCACAGGCCAAAGGUACCCGGCAGCAGGCAGGCUCUAGCCAAAGGGGGGCAUGCAGGGCAGCCAUAGGGCACAGAGAAGACACUGUCCCCUCAUGCGGCUCCGCCUUGUCCCACUAUGAGACGUUAGGAACACGUGAAAUGCCCACACCCCACAUGGUCCCCACAGCGGCAGCGCCCUCAGGGCCGAGGCCGAGGUGAGCAGCCGGGCUCGGCCCCGCGCCGGGCGGCAGGGGCGGGUCCCUCGCCGCGCUCCGCCCCGGGGUGGCGGCGGGAGCAGCGCCGGGAGCGGCGGUGGUCGGAGGGAGGCGGACAGUUAUGUGCAGCUGGAGUCGCUCAGAAAGAUACAAGGAAAGUGUAAGAAAAUAUUGCACAAAAAAGUGAAAUUCAAGACCCUUCACAGCACCAUGGCAGCCCCAGAUGUUACCCCUUGUGAUGGCUCACUGCUCCAGGAGACCCUCCAGAGGACAGGAGAUGAGAGGAGAUUAAUGUUGAGAAAAGAGAUGGAUGCAGAUGUCAAAGGAUGCCCUCUAUUUCCUCUUGAGAUAAUUCAGACAGAUGCCUGCUCAGAUACUUUCUGUGGAGCAGAGCCCAGAAGAGGAUGCUGA